CGGCGCCGUCGGGGGCCCCUCAGACUGUCGGGAUCCUCCGGGAUCCUCCGGGAUCCGGGACACCUCAGACUGCCGGGAUCCUCCGGGAUCCUCCGGGAUCCGGGACCCCUCAGACUGCCGGGAUCCUCCGGGAUCCUCUGGGAUCCUCCGGGAUCCGGGACCCCUCAGACGCCCGGGAUGUUCCGGGAUCCUCCGGGAUCCGGGGCCCCUCAGACUGCCGGGAUCCUCCGGCACCGCCCGGGGCCCUCCGGGAUCCUCUGAGGCCCCUCAGACCUUGAGGACCUGCGGGGAUCCCCCGGGCCCCCGGAAUGUCGGAGCUGUGCCUUUGAGCCAGUUAGCCGUUCCCUCAGGCUCGAGGCUGCAAACCUUUGUGAGGAGAGGCCAGGAACGGCACCUCUCAGGUGAAACGAUGCUGAGGGUUGUCGUUCCCAGCGGGAGUUCCACUUGAACCGUACAAGAGCAAGCUGAAGUAAAUUGUGAUCGUGAUUAUUGCCUUUUGGGGGUUUUCCCUGUGUCCCCCACGAGGUACCAAGAAAGUUUUAGUCAUGAGGACGACUCAUCCAAGCGGAGUGCAUUGCCUCAGUCCUGUGCCGUGCAGAACUCUGCCAAGGCUUUUUGUCUCGACAAACCAAGUGGUGUGACGAGUGUGAAGGAUUUUCCCAUGGCAGAGGUGUGUAAUGUGAAGUAAAAGGGCUCGGGGCCCUGCGGCGCCGGGCGGGUGACCGGCUGCGCCGAGACACAGGAGCCGAUGAGUCAGCAGGAAGCUCCCAGAGUCCGGGGGCACAGAUUGGGAGGGGAUAAACGUCCGGGGAAUCCUUUGUAGGGGGCCCUGCCCGAGGCACCAGCUCGAGCUGCUACUGUGUGUCUGCACCACGUUUAAAUUACUUAAGGAACAAGAGUUUUGUAGGACUCUGCCACGGGAAACCUGGAGUCGAGCUGCUGCAACUGUUAGUUGGCUCUUGCCGUAAUUGAUGGACACUGCCAGUUGCUUAGACAGAUGGGAAUUAAUGCUGGUGUUCCCAUUAGAACUUGCCAUCACAAUCGCGUUGGCGUUGCUCUCCUGCGCAGAGUUGAUGUGUGUAAGCCGGGGUGUUUGGAAGGAGCAAGCACAGCUCAUACCUGCAGUCCUUCCUUCCGAUGUAUUGGAGCCACCGAUCCAACACAGAGCAGAUGAGCUGCUUGCCAGCAGCUUAUAGAACACUUCACAAUGGUAAUGAAAAUGCUUCAUUCCUUGAUGUUCAGAGGAACGUGGUUCAGCGAGCUGGACUGUCAUCCCCGGAGGCAUCUGUGAGCUGUAUUCAGAGGGUGUUGCAGGGCCUUGUAUCCCAGUCACCUCCUCUGGAUCUCCAGUGACCUGGCACAGCCGCAGCAGGACCUCCCAGGUGACUACUGUGAGGCACAGCCAGAGGUGAAGAAAGAGCAGGAUGGUCCCUCCCACUUCCACUGACUGACAGCAAAGCCAGCUUCUAUGAGAAGAGCCACUCCUGCCGGGAUGAGCACCUGUGAGGCCACCAGGACGGACCCUCCUGACCCUCAGCCCAGGUCACAGGGUGAGGCCAUGAUUCCACUGACCAGGAGCACCCCUCUGGAGGAAGCACUGCUAUCCACAGGGUUCAGAUCCAGGCUUCUUUUGGCCCUUCAGCACAACAGAACUCUGUGAUUAAAAAGGAAACUAGAGGAGGAAGUGCAGAAGAACCACAAAGGUAACUGGUGACAUGGCCCCACCUCAGAGGACUCAGCACUGUCAGUGUCUCUCACUGCAGGUAGUGCUGGUGGCAGUCACCAUGCAGAAUAUAAUGCUUUUGUGUAAUGCAGAGAUGCUAAAAAAGUAACAGUUUAAACAGAUGUUUGUGUUAACUCUGUACCCAUUAAUUUCAAAGAACCUUUAAAGCAAAUACUAAUAGGCUUAAAACUAAAAACAAGCACGAGUGUUUUCCUUUUUAAUAGGCUGUUUUGUACAUGAAAGUACCAGCUGAAAGCAUUCUGCACUUCUACUCUAUUCUGAUUCUUUUAGAAUGAGCUAUAAUCCUUUUUCCCUUUUUACCCGUUGCACCUAUUUGCACCCUGAUAGGGCAAAAUCUUCACUACAACUGCCACAGGCUAUUUGUGGACUUAAAAGACAUUUGUGUGCAUAAAUGCACACAGGAUCAGAGUCUCACCCACCAUCGUAUUGCGACAAGCUCAAAGAAUCCAGAACCCUGAUCACCUUUUGGUGCUAAACUAUGAGUUGGAAAAUAAACACAAGGAUUUAGAGGAAAGACCAGAACCCUGGGGCUGACGCUGUGACUCUGCAUGAGGCUGUGUUCCCAGGCAGCCCUAGACUCCUGGGAAGAGGGGCUCGGUACAGACCCCUAGACACUGAACUGGUUUAUGAGAGUACCCCAAACUGCUGUGGCUUAGUCUUCUUUGCCCCUUUAAUAAAAGAAAGAAGAAAGUCUAGCUAGGAGCAUGGACGCAGGGUAAUGCAUCAUUUAUAAAUUACCUUGUUAGUGCAGAAAACAACACAUGGCUCUGCAGCCGAAAUCUCCUGCUGCGGACUCGCUCUGUUUGAUGGGAGCCCUUCAAAAGCAUUGGUGGCUUAAUGGAGGCAGUUUGUGGGGACCCCGCUCCGUACCUGCUGUCCCUGUGCCUCGCCGGGAGCUCGGCGGCAGCUGCCGCGGCGUGCAGCUGUCUCUGAAGUGGCUGCGUGUCCUCCGCCCCAGCACAGGCAGCCUGCAUUGGAUCUGUGUUUGUGCCUGAGGCGAGCUGGGGAGCGCAGCUGUGUCCACCCCGCGCUACCUUUGGUGUUCGGGCCCCCGGGCCCCGCGCCGCCCCGACCUGCCCCACGCGCUCCUGCAGCUGCCGCUGCCCGCGCUCCCACGGCGCCAGGCCCGCCACAGCUGUGCCCACAACCUGCCCGCUCGCACCUGUGCCGUGCCCGCCUCAAACAGCGCGGCUCGGAGGACUUCAGCCACCAUCAGAGCCUCCCGGCGCCGAGCCACCCUCGGCACCGCCGGGCACGUGGCACCAGUGGGACAGGACAGGGAGGCAGGAACAGCUUGCUCUGCUUUGAUACCUCAUGCCUAAAUUGCAACUGCUUGAUCAAGGACUCAAAUUCAGCAAUGAAUUCUUCUACAAAUGGAAGUACUGAGUUCUUCAACAGUAAAAGAAGGAAGAUUAAAUAGAACAACUCCAUGGCUGCUGUUUCCAAGCACUGAACUUCAUACCAGGAAAAUAAUCAAAAUUCUCAUUACCUCCCAUUCUACCACAGAGCUGCCCAGCCCAGCCGUCCCUUGCCCGCCCCGCGCCGCACACCAACCUCGUCUCCUUGCUGGGGCCGCAUCAGCGAGACUCUGUCGUACUGCCGCCGCAGCAGCGCCCACAGCGCGUCCAGCCGGCCCUGCGGAGACAGCACGGGCGUCCGUCAGCGGGGAGCACCUCACCUGCACCGGGACUGGCCACAGGGAUCCCAGGGACACAGCCAGGUCAGCACAGGAAGCUGUGAGAGCAAUCAAGUUGCUGGAGGAACAGCAGAAGAACAGAGGACAGAGAAGCAGUGAAAACCAGACAACUGUGUUGCCACACAGACUGCAAACAGGGAAGAAAUGUCAUGACUAGUGCAGCAGUUUUGUUGCUGGCCACAGCACAGAAACCACCUCUAACUGCCAGGAAACCAGGCACUGCCAGGGAAGCAGACCCAGAAGGAAGGAAGAACAGGUCAUGCCUGGGCCUAAUGCUGCCCCUCUCCUUGAGGACACUGCCCUGAAGCCCAGGACUACAGAGCCACAAGGGGCCCUUCCAGGUGAUGUCCGAGCCUCAGGGGCAGGAGAGAGGGGCAGGAACAGAGGCACAGCACAAGAACCCAAGGAGCAGCCAGCAAGACCAAAGAAAGGUGUUCCUUAUCCACAUGAUAUAAAGUGGGAGCAAAGUGACUGACAGAAACCUCCCUGUAUUUCUGAUGUUGGGCCUGUGCCGUGGAGAACGAGACACGAGAGAGGCUUUUUAUUACAGAAGAGGUCAUUGUUGUCGUCUCAGGAACCCCAGACCGUGAGGGGGCAGAUGGAGGCUGAGGACUUCCUGCCCUCAGACAGCUUGGGGCCCCCCGGGCCCCCUGGAUUAUGGGAGCUGCACGUGGUCAGGAUCUGUUUCCCACCCCUGAGUCCCAGUGCGGUGGCUGUUCCCCAUGGUCUGUACUCACCACUUUGCAGCACAGGGGCCAGAACCACCAGAGCAGGCCGAGUGCCACCAGCAGCAGCAGCACGAGGACGGCAAUGAGCGCUGCCACACCACUGGACUGCAGAGAGAGCAGGGACAGCGUCAGCACGGGCUGCACAACUCUGCCUGGCUCACACACUCACCCCAAAGCCCAGGAUUAGUUCUGCUCAAGUCAGGGAUGCAUUCUCAUGUGAAACCAAUAUAAAACUGAUACUCCUGAGAUCGGACUCAGGCCAAGCUAGACGAAAAGGGAGAGUGCAUUGACUGCUAAGGAACGAGCCAUUAGACACAGGCAGGGGAAGUCUCCUAGACCUGUGGAUGAGAAGUGCCCUUCUGCUCCAUGAGGACACAGGUUACUGAUCUACAGGCAAAAGCAAUCCUGUUGGAGAAAUGCAGGCUGACGAGCAGAAGGGACUGUUCUCGGUGCUCCACGCCUGAUGGGAAAGCUGCUCUCAAGUCACACUUCAGAUGAGACACAUUUAAAGGCACACGGUGCCCAUGCACAGCACGUGUUAAACACUGGGGGCUUGUGUCUCCCUGCACAAAUCCCAACUGUCCUGCCCACGUAAUGGAGAGCAGACAUGCAAGACUAGAAAAUUUUAUUAAUCUAUUGAUUGUAUAAAGGUACUAAGUUCAACAGUCACUCUCUGCACAAGUGUGUGGUUUCUCCCAGAAGCAGUUUUAACUCUUUUCCAUAACCUGUGAUCAGACUCAGCAGGAUGUUCACCCUGCCUUACCCCCAGGUGUAACUGGGGUGCUCCAGCCUGUGCUUGGACUGCCUGUCUCCCCAAAUUAACAGAGUUAAGAGCCUACACUCGUUACUCAGGCUCCAGAGUUACGGAGCAGCAGUACCCUCCUGCAGGACUGUAACUGCCCUCCACAGCCAGGCUGAAGUCCCACGGUUCUGCCUGCUCUGCUCCCCCUCCCUCACUCAGGGAAGCCAGGCUGAAAUGGGACCCCCGGUGACUGUGUCACACCUGCCCCUUGGGACGUGGUUAUAUUUACAGUGAGCAGGUCUCUGAGGGCAGGGAAGCCUCCCAGUAUUUUGAAAGCCACAGCUUUCCACAGGGAAGUGGAAUCAGAGAUUCCCUGCACUGAGAGGUCCCACAAUGGCCAAGCCCUAAGAGAAAUGGGAUUUGGGAAUUUUACACAGGAUUGUGGUGGUCUUUUACUUACACACUCCGAAGCGGUGAUGGUUAACGAGCUGGACAUGAAAGACUGGCCUUCCUUCAAACUCACCAAAACCUCCAGGGUUCUGCAAAGAGACAGAGAAAAAACAUGAGCGACCGUGGAGCAGUCAAGAAAGGCUCACACCUGCUCCAGAGGCUCCUGUAUCUGAAGCCUCUGCUCCACAGAGAGUGUCCCCAGAGGGGAAAUGGAGGCCUGUGCUUAGUCUUGUUUGGGAGUAAGUUUGGUCUCCUUGACAGAGCUAUAUGAGUAGAGACUAUCCCUCCUCUUUUCCGUGCAGCAUAAAAUACUCCCAAAAGUUUUACAUAAAAUAAAUUGAAGUUCAGCUGUGAAAUCGGCAUUGUUUUGUCUGUUCCAUAACCAUCUCUUUAGUCACAUGCAGGCAUUAUGGAUAAAAAUGUUGGAUAAUUAUAGAUGGUCAGGACUUGCUAUAAAUAGCCCCAAACACUGCAUACAAAUGGUAUGUGGUUUACAUUUUACAAAUUAACCCUACAAGAAAACAACACAUGGUGGAUGUUAAACAGAAGAAGACUCUUCUCUGGCUUGGAUUCCCAGGAUUCAGACAGUUUAUAUUAUGCAUAGAUGUAAUUAAAUAAAAAUAUAGAUAUCCAUGAACUAAAAUGAUUAAUCAUUUAUACCAUUCUUACAUGUCAUGAGUUUUUAUUCUGGCACAAACGCUUAAGUCAAUAUGGAGUUCAAAGCUAUUUUAACUAAUUUGGCUAAUUUCUUCUUCAUUGGUAGCAAAAAUGAAGUGAGUUGCUUCCACUAAACUAAUUUUUAAAUUAUCUGUGUCAUGAAUAAUUGAUCCAACAGAAAGAAUAACUCUAAUUUCUUUCUAAUUAUUCCUGGAAUAAGUGAAUCAGAACAGAUAAAAAAAAAUCUAUUCUCUUGCAGCACACUAAAUAAAACAAACUACACCAGAAAUUUUGUCAGACAUGAA